UACGAAGGGGGCUAGCGUUGCUCGGAAUGACUGGGCGUAAAGGGUGCGUAGGCGGCGCGGUAAGUCGGGUGUGAAAUCUCGGAGCUUAACUCCGAAACUGCAUUCGAUACUGCCGUGCUUGAGGACUGGAGAGGAGACUGGAAUUUACGGUGUAGCGGUGAAAUGCGUAGAUAUCGUAAGGAAGACCAGUGGCGAAGGCGGGUCUCUGGACAGUUCCUGACGCUGAGGCACGAAGGCCAGGGGAGCAAACGGG
rnacentral:rRNA from 1 species